GUUUACGACCAUACCCCCCUGAAUGUGUUUGAGCUUGGAAGCUAAGCAGAGUCGAGCCUGGUUAGUACUUGGAUGGGAGACCCCCUUGGAAUACCAGUUGUGGUAGGGU
rnacentral:rRNA from 1 species